rnacentral:rRNA from 1 species
UACGUAGGUGGCAAGCGUUGUCCGGAAUUAUUGGGCGUAAAGCGCGCGCAGGCGGUCCCUUAAGGCUGAUGUGAAAGCCCACGGCUCAACCGUGGAGGGUCAUUGGAAACUGGGGGACUUGAGUACAGAAGAGGGAAGCGGAAUUCCACGUGUAGCGGUGAAAUGCGUAGAGAUGUGGAGGAACACCAGUGGCGAAGGCGGCUUUCUGGUCUGUAACUGACGCUGAGGCGCGAAAGCGUGGGGAGCAAACAGG